GACGAACGCUGGCGGCGUGCUUAACACAUGCAAGUCGAACGGAAAGGCCCUGCUUUUUUGGUGUGCUCGAGUGGCGAUCGGGUGCGUAACACGUGAGUAACCUGCUCUUGACUUUGGUAUAACUUCAGGAAACUGGGGCUAAUCCCGUAUAGCAUCUCCUGCUGCAUUGUGGGGGUUGGAACUUCUCGGCGGUAGGGGUUGGAUUCGCGGCUUAUCAGCUUGUUGGUGGGGUAGUUGCUUACCAACGCUUUGACGGGUAGCCGGCCUGAGAGGGUGACCGGCGACAAUGGGACUAAGAGACGGCCCAGACGCGUACGGGAGGCAGCAGUGGGGAGUAUGACACAAUGGGCGGGAGCCUGAUGAAGCAACGCCGCGGGCGGGAUGACGGCCUUCGGGUUGUAAACCGCUGUCGCCUGUGACGAAGCGUGAGUGACGGUAAUGGAUAAAGAAGCACCGGCUAACUACGUG
rnacentral:rRNA from 1 species